rnacentral:lncRNA from 1 species
AAACAUGGAGAACAUAGCCAACCUUCCGUUCUUGAGCUCCUUAACCUUCAACUCCGCGAAAGCCUCGGGGUCGGUAGCAAGACCCAAUGGGUCGAAGCUGCCACCUGGGUAAAGCAAGUCCUCUGCCUCACCCAAGGGGCCAUCUCCGGCAACUCUGUAGCCUUCAACAGCUCCCAUGAGGAUAACCUGAGUGGCCCAAAUGGCUAAGAUGCUCUGAGCGUGGACCAAGCUGGGGUUGCCCAAGUAGUCCAAUCCUCCGUCGCUGAAGAUCUGGGAACCGGCCUUGAACCAAACGGCUUCUCCGAACUUGACUCCGUUCCUGGCCAAUAGCUCAGGGAAAACGCAGCCAAGGGCUCCGAGCAUGGCCCAUCUGCUGUGGAUGACUUCUAGCUCACGGUUCCUGGCGAAGGUCUCUGGGUCAGCGGAUAGACCGGCGGUGUCCCAUCCAUAGUCACCUGGGAACUCUCCGGUAAGGUAGCUCGGUGGCUCGCCGGAGAAGGGACCCAAGUACUUGACUCGGUCAGAUCCGUACCAUGGGCUGCCUGAUGGACCCUUAGGCUUGGCAACAGUCUUCCUCAUGGUCACACGGCCGGUUCCGAGGACAUCUGAUGCUGCGGGCUUCACAGCCUUUCCAGCGAAGGCAGGGGAGGACAGAGCCAUGGUUGAGGAAGCCAUUAGAAUCUUUCUUCGUUCUUCUUUUUCUUUUCUGUUUUUUUUUUUUGUUGUGACUGGUGAGAGUGAUUGAAACUGGUUGGGGUAUAGAUCCGCUUUAUAGCAAUGUUAAGAGUAAGGUUUGUUAUCUAUGAAGUAUCUGUAUCUGUUUACUGAUUGGCUUAUGAGAUUUUGGGUUCGUCUUUAUCUUGUCCUAUGUGUCACUCUCUAGUCCAUAAGCUUUUUUGCCAGAUUCUUAUAAGCUGCAAUGAAGACACUUGUGAUUUGUCCACUUUGGAACUUUGAAUAAAAUUUUGCAAAUAUAAAUUUUAACAGGAUAUAUUUUAUAAAUAUCAAGUACGUUACUCUCUCUUUUUUUUUUUUUCUUUUUUUUUUCUGUAAUUUUAUUUUAACACUUUUUGGAACGUAAAAGUUAAACUACUACAUUGUGCAACCAAACCAUUUUUUAAGUGAAACAAUGCAUUUUAGAUUUAACCAAAAGUGCUACAAGUUUUCACGUUUACAACAAUUGAACAGAUUUAAGGAAAAAAAAAACAACGUUAUAUAUAUAUGCAUUCUUUAAGAACCAUUAUGUUGAUUGAUUAAUUAGUUUGUUUUCAGCAAGAAAAAUGACUGGUAAGUUGCCUUGCUCAUACUUAAAAACGGUUCACAAAUUGUUUUGAAGAUGAAUAUUGUAAUUAGUUUUACUUUUACUUUCUAAUGCUUUUAUUAUAUGCAGAACCCAAAUCUCCAUAUAUAUUUUUUUUUUGGUAAAAGCAAAUCUCCAUAUUUGAUGGAACAAAUUAGAGUGAUUGAUAAUGAAAUGUUCACCUAAUACUCAUCCUCAUAUUUCAUUUUUGUGAAAGAAAUGAGUAAGUAGAGUGAGUGGUAUAUGCAUCAAUCAAGUUUUUGGUAUCGAAUUGCUUUGAUUGUUAUUAUCACACGUCCAUUUGGGGAAACACUAAAGACGAUCAGAAAAAAAAUAUCUUAAGACAUGUACCUAUUGAGACUGAUACGAUUCGAAACGGAUAGAGAAACACGUCAGAGUUUACAUGUGGCACGCCUUCAAUGGGUACUCCAAUAUGCUAACACAAUUCUACGAGAUAUCUCUAAAUUAUCAAACACACAACUCAAAAUACUCAAAUUCCAAACAAGACCCACUGAUGCCACCUCGGCAAGACAAAAUAAAAAAUCUAAGCUUAAAAAUGUCAACAACCAAUAGAAAUCAAGACAUUGGUGAUAUCCCUAGAUAAGCAACUUAAAUCUUCAAGUUUUAGUUUACCUUCGGUUCACAUUAUAAAUACCCUAAUAACAUCACCGUAACCUAACCAUCCAAUUCAUCACAACUUAACUAAGAGUAAGAGCCUUUUACUUGCACCACAGUCUAACCGCAAUGGCCGCCUCGACAAUGGCUCUCUCCUCUCCUGCUUUGGCUGGAAAGGCCGUCAAGCUAUCCCCGGCGGCCUCUGAAGUUUUUGGUACCGGCCGAGUAACCAUGCGCAAAGCCUCCAAACCCACCGGUCCAUCCGGCAGCCCAUGGUACGGAUCCGACCGCGUCAAGUACUUGGGUCCGUUCUCUGGCGAGCCACCAAGCUACCUCACAGGAGAAUUUCCCGGUGACUACGGGUGGGACACUGCUGGUCUAUCCGCCGAUCCCGAGACUUUCGCCAGAAACCGUGAGCUAGAAGUUAUCCACAGCAGAUGGGCCAUGUUAGGAGCCCUAGGCUGCGUUUUCCCUGAGCUAUUGGCGAGGAAUGGAGUGAAGUUCGGAGAAGCGGUUUGGUUCAAGGCUGGAUCACAGAUCUUCAGUGACGGAGGAUUGGACUACUUGGGCAACCCGAGUUUGGUCCACGCUCAGAGCAUUCUAGCCAUUUGGGCCACUCAAGUGAUCCUCAUGGGAGCUGUGGAAGGUUACAGAGUUGCCGGAGAUGGUCCGUUGGGAGAAGCAGAGGACUUGCUUUACCCAGGUGGCAGCUUCGACCCAUUGGGUCUUGCUACUGACCCCGAGGCUUUCGCUGAGUUGAAGGUGAAGGAACUUAAGAACGGGAGGUUGGCUAUGUUCUCUAUGUUUGGAUUCUUUGUUCAAGCCAUCGUCACCGGAAAGGGACCGUUGGAGAACCUUGCUGACCAUUUGGCUGAUCCAGUCAACAACAACGCAUGGGCCUUCGCCACUAACUUCGUCCCCGGAAAGUGAGUUUAUAAUUCGUGAUCAAGUUGUGUAUCUCUGGUUUGUUGAAUCUUGGAAAUGUGAUGGUGAUUUUAUCUCUUGUAAAUUACUUUUGUAAGUGUGAAAUAUUUAAGAAGCUUUGUAAAAUUAAUGGAUCGGUUUACUUACUUGUGUGCAAAAAAAUAGUACAUAAACAUAUUGCGGUGUGAACACAACACAAUUCGUUUCCAAGAACCGAGAUGACCCUGUUUAAUAGUAUCAGUCCAAAUUUUUACUCUACUUUGAUUCUUUCGAAUAAGUAAAUAUACUCUCGUAACACAUAACUUGAGAGACUCACAAACCUUUGGUCAUGUUCUCAGUGUUUUCAUGGUAAUAAACUACAUUUCAUAUAAUAAUAAUAAAAAAUCAAUCUUGAUUUAAAAACCAGCUCUACUUUUUUAGAAAUAAUAUCCACUUUUUCUAGUUUGUAGGAACUUGUUUGAAAUUAUAAAUAAUAAAAUCCCAAAAUAAAAACGCAAACAAAAACGUUAUAAUAUGACAAAAGUGUCCAAAAAAAAUGAACACAAACCAUUAAAACACAUCAUAAUUUUGGUCUAUAACUUAUUAAUUAGCAUUAUUUUAAAACAUAUAAAAGGGUCCAUAAAAAAUGAAUAUUGUUGGUAGUGGGUUUUGAUGAUUGUAAAGCCCAUUAGCCAGGCCUAAUAAGAAAGACGAAAAUGCAAGAAUAGUAAUGGGCCGGAGAACCAUAGUCAAAAUCCAGUCGUUGACACUUAAAACAAAAAACAAAUUGAAAACCCUUUCUGGCGCCGGAAAGACAAACCGGAAAGGCAAAUACAAAGGGAAAUUGAGAAGCAUAGGAGAAAGAAAAAGAAAAAGAUAAACGCGCGUUAGAUUUACGCGCGUUAAAUUUACGCGCUUUCUCUUAUUCAAAGAGUUUUUAUUUCUAUGUUAGCUAUUUUUCACAAGGUAAUGAAUCGAUAUUUUAUCUAUAUAUUGAAGGACCAAGGUGGAAUAGAAGAUUGAAUUUUAGAAGAUUAAUGUAUGGUUGAAUAACACAAUUAGAAACUAUUCAAUAGUAAGAAAAAAAUGAAAAAUUUUAAAUAUUCCAGGAUGUUUUAAAUACACAAUUAGCAACUAUUCAACGGCCAUAUAAGGCAAUUUUAGAUUUUCAAUUAAAACUUCCUAAGUAUGCACUCUUGUGAAUUCUCCACCACCACCACUAUAUAUGAUACUCUUGUUAGGUUCAAUGAAAAAUCACCACCUCUAUUACUCAGUAGUAGCAAAAUACAAAAUCUUCUUAAAUAAAAAAAAGACGAGAGACUUGCUCUUUCUUCGUACCGUUUAGCGAACAAAUGGGUCGGAGAAAGAUCAAGAUGGAGAUGGUUCAAGACAUGAACACAAGGCAGGUCACCUUUUCCAAACGGAGGACCGGUUUGUUCAAGAAGGCGAGCGAGUUGGCCACGCUCUGCAAUGCUGAGUUGGGUAUUGUUGUCUUUUCACCAGGAGGCAAGCCUUUCUCCUACGGGAAACCGGAUCUCGAUUCUGUUGUAGAGCGAUUCAUGAGGGACGAUGAUGAGUCAGAUAGUGGUGAUGAAGAAGGAAGAGCGCGAAAUGGACCUAAACUGAAGAAGAUGAGUGAACGUCUUGAUUCGCUCAACCAAGAGAUUGAAGCUGAGAAGAAACGAGGCGAAAAGGAUCAGGAGAAGCUCGAAUCUGCUGGGGAUGAGAGAUUCAAGAAGCCCAUCGAGGCGCUUACCCUCGAUGAACUCAAUGAAUACAAAGAUAAGCUCAAGACAGUCCAUGGUAGGAUCGAAGGUGACGCCUAUCGCGUCCAUGCUUCGUCUUGUCUUUUGUCUCUCUCCGUAAAAAACUAGCGUGACUUGUUGAAGUCGCAUUCUAUUUUUGUAUCAGCCACAGAAGUUACUAGCAUGAAAGAUAUUGUUGGUGUAGAGUUUUCAUCAUCUAUUCUAAUGGGGUGUGACUUUCAAUUUCAUAUCACAUGUGUGUAACCGAGAAAUCGAAAAGUACCUGUUAAUUUGUCUGUGUUAAUCUCAAGUGUAUUUUGUCAAACAUGAUCCACCUUUUCGCCAGUCUGCAAUCUGGAAAUUUAUUUUCAAAUAGAAGAUUACGAUAUAAAGAAACGAAACCUUUGGCCACCACUCAAGAAACUAGUUUGUAUUCAUUGAUCUCCAUGUAUACUCCACAGAAGAAUGAGUAUCAGGGAAUGAUCUCAAUGAAACAGAAACUUCUAAACGUCAAUAUACAAAAACCCAUCCUAGAAGGCUUAGAACAAUGUUUUCUAAAAACUAAAAAGUAAUCUAUUCAGAAUAAUCUGAGUCGGUCUCUGAUUCAUCGUGUUCACCUGAUUCCUGCAUGAACAGUAGUAAAAUGAAAAGGUUAGACUAAUGUUUUACCACCGCAUCAGAGGGAUACUGAGGUGAAUAAAUAUUAAUUGGAAAACAUAUGAUAAAUGAAAAAAUGGGUACCAUCCUCUUGGUAUAUUCUGUCAUUGCUCGGUGAAACUCUUCCCUCUUCUCAGUGGCUAUAUCAUAAUACUUUACCUUUUCCUACAAUACAGUAGAGGAACAAACAAUACGUAUAAGAAACUUUGAUUCAUGUCUCAACCAGAAAUAUCUCAUUAUACCAACAAAACAUCAUGUGAGCAGCAAGAAAAAUAGAGAGAUUGUUCACAAAAAGAACAAGAAAACUACAGAGUGUGAAUUGCAAUCUGGCAACAGCCAACCCAGAUUGUACCAUUUCAUUGCUUAAACGAUCAUAUUACUUAUCAUCACAAUAUUCCAGAUUGUAACCAUUUCAUUGCUUAACUGAUCAUUACUUAUCAUCACAAUAUUCCAGAUUCCAUGCAUUUAACUAUCACUCGAACAAUGUCACUGAGGAAACUCUUGGAAGAUGAUAGAGCCAAAUAUGUUAACGAAGUCCAAGAGACAAUAAAGUAAUUGGGACACAAGAGCAAAACCCAUGUUACCUCGUAUAUCAUUGUUUUCCAUUUCUCUCCGCAUGACUUCCCAAUCUGAACAAAAUGAAAAUAUUAACAAAUUCAGCAAUCGAACCAAAGUGAAUAUUACCGUCAAAAUUUGUUCACUUUGAAAUAAAACAAAGCCUACAACCUCGCGCAUGGACUUGACCUCCGGAUUCUGCUCUUGAUAUUGCUUCCGGAAAUCCUCCCUUUGGAACCAAAAAUGAUAAAGCAGUAUGAGGCAAGAGGAAAAUGCAUACAACAGGCGUUUCUUUAUAUGUUUUCUAAAGCAACACAUAACAACAAGUAAAUUUCACCCUGAUGUCAAACAUAAAAGAAAUUUCAUCCUGAAGACCAAUGGCAAAAUGCAGAAAUAUUUCCCCUUAAGUGCUUGGAAGUUCAGCUGAGCUUAAAAUAUAUAGACAACAGUUUGCAAUCAUAUGAGAAGGAGAGGGAGUACCUACAAGAAAUAGAAGAAAGCAGUGGGAGGUUUCUUAGGCAUCUUCGAACGGAGUUUAACCGGUUUCUUCUUCUUCUGGCUUGUAUUUGGCUUUCUCAACGGCUGAAGUCUUAAUCUUGUAGACCUCCUCACAUUUUCACUGGACUUCACAGCCACCUCUAAGUUCCUAUUAAAAAAUCCACAAUGCAAAAUCAGAGUAGUCUAACAGCUUCUCUCCUAAUUCUUCUCACCCAUUUCUGUUGAAUAUUGAAGUUCACAAAUUUCAUUCCAGUUUGAUCUCAAUUCCCUACCUAAACACUAAGCAGAGAAAUCAAAGCAGAACCAGGUAAAAACCAAAACUUGAUCUGUAACCUAUAUCUACGUCAUACACGAAACUUACCGAGUAGAGCCUCCACUGCACGACGGAGACGAAGACCGCAAUAACCCUGAACUGGGAGCUUUCUUCGUCAUUUUCUCGCCACUUUCUCGGAAUCGAAAAACUUUUCUCGGCUGCCUCUUCUGGGGGGUUUUCCGUAAUUGUGUAGUUUGCGCGAGCUGAAACAGAGUGUGACAAUUUUGCCCCGUGGCGUAGUCUAAUCAACAAAAAAAGGCAAAGAAUAAUAAAAAAUUAAAAAUCACGAUUUUACAAAGUUAACGUCUGUGGGAGAGAUUAACACACAUUCGAUGGCAACAUCUUUGCUUCUCAGACAUUCCUCAGCCGUCUUCUUCUCUCAGUCUUCUCGCUUCUUCACCAAGAACAACUCUUUUCGUUCCUUCACUUCCAUCAAGGUUAGAUUUUUCAAUUCUGUCUCAUUCUCUUAUGUAUUUGCUAGAAUCUAGUUGAUGAGAGAAAACGGUAAUUUAGAUAUUCCCAAUUCUGAAUUUGGCUUUGCUUGUGUCGCAGAUGCAAAGAGGUGAAGCAGUGAAGACAAAGAAGGUGUUUGUGGCCGGAGCUACUGGGAAUACCGGGAAGAGGAUUGUGGAGCAGUUGUUGUCCCGUGGCUUUGCCGUCAAAGCUGGUGUUCGUGACGUAGAGAAGGCUAAAACAUCUUUCAAAGACAACCCUUCUCUUGAGAUCGUACGUUCUUUUCUUAAUCCGAUGUUUUCUCCCCUGUCAAGUCUCACAACUGCUCUGUUAUUUCUUCUAGGUUAGAGCAGACGUGACAGAAGGUCCUGAGAAGCUAGCUGAAGCUAUUGGUGAUGAUUCUCAGGCUGUGAUUUGUGCUACCGGGUUUCGUCCCGGGUUUGAUAUUUUUACGCCUUGGAAAGUCGAUAAUUUUGGGACAGUAAAUCUUGUGGAUGCUUGCCGUAAACAAGGAGUGGAAAGGUUUGUUCUUAUAAGCUCAAUCUUGGUGAAUGGAGCUGCAAUGGGACAGAUACUGAACCCUGCUUACAUCUUCCUCAACCUCUUUGGACUGACUCUGGUCGCUAAGCUUCAAGCUGAGAAGUAUAUUAAAAAAUCUGGCAUCAUUUAUACUAUAGUAAGGCCCGGUGGUCUUAAAAACGAUCCUCCAACCGGAAAUGUUGUCAUGGAGCCAGAGGUAAAACAUAGACUUUGAUCUUUGUUUCGUCUGUUUUGUAGUGGAACUGAUAAAGAUCUUACCCUUGAUCUUUGUAGGAUACUCUGUAUGAAGGAAGCAUAUCGAGAGACCAGGUCGCAGAAGUUGCAGUGGAAGCUCUGCUUAAUGAUGAAUCAUCUUUCAAGGUUGUGGAGAUAGUUGCUCGUGCUGAAGCUCCAAAACGUUCCUACAACGAUCUCUUCGCCUCUGUUAAAGGACAUUAACUAGAAUGCAAAUCAAUCACAAUGUAAUGAGUCUCAUGCUCAAAACCUUUAUUUCUCUUAUGUCUUGAGUACAACAAACAAACAGAUACAAGUGCGCAUAAACUGAGUUCAAGACAAAUUGAUAGAGUCCCAUUUAGAUUUAUCUCUUAUCCAACCCAUCACUGGCGCUUCUUCCCGGUUGCAUGUUCCCAUGAGUGCAUGACAUGGUUCACGAUUUCCUCGACCCCAAGCCCAUGCUUCACCUGGAAAUGUUUUAGUAAUCAAAGAAGAUUCCUUUGAAAGAACUAAGGUCACUCGUUAUGUAAGUGAUGAGACCUAUUUCUAAAGAUGGCUAACCUGAGCAAAGACAAAUGGCCCUCCAUCACGCAUGCGUAGCGCAUCCCUUUCCAUAACAGAUAAGUCAGCCCCAACAGCUGCUGCAAGGUCUGUCUUGUUUAUCACCUGCAGUUGCAAAAAUCAACCAGAGAUUCUUUCACACUACUAUCGACUUUAAAAGAGCAUGUAAGUUUAAGAGUUGAAGCAGCAUAAGCGCACCAGAAGAUCAGCUUGAGUGAUUCCAGGGCCACCUUUACGGGGUAUUUUAUCACCAGCAGAUACAUCGAUGAUGUAGAUGAUAUAGUCAGCAAGUUCUCUGCUGAAAUUAGCAGCUAAAUUAUCUGCAAAGGCAACACUGAUCCUAUUCAAUUUCAUUGGAUGCUUGAGAAACAGAAGUCUAUAAAAGAUACACACGCAGGUAAAAGAACUGAAACCUCACCUCCACCGGAUUCACAAAGAAGCAAAUCAGCCUUGAAUAAGUUAGAUAACUCCUCAAGAGGACCCAAAUUGAUACUGAUAUCUUCACGGAUCGCAGCGUGUGGACAUCCACCGGUUUCAACAGCUCUAAUCCUUUCCUCAGGAAGAGCUCCAUUCUUCACCAGAAACUCACCAUCCUCUUUCGUAAAUAUAUCAUUUGUCACCUACACCAUUUACAAUAAUCUUUUCUUGAGAUCAAGGAAACAAUCUCACUAAGUAAUCAGAAGAUUUGCAGCUGAUAGUAAUACUCACAGCAGCAAGACUAUAUUUGUCCCUCAAGAAUCUACAAAGAGCAAGCAUCAAUGCCGUUUUCCUGAGUGGACGAAAAACAAAAUCCAAUAUGGAGUUAGACAAAAAAGAUUGACACUUUUCUGCGAAACUUGACAAUAUGUGAUCAAGAACACUGAAUCCAUCUAAAAACAAUAUCAAUAGAUUCAAUGGUUUAACCCAGAGACUGUAAUUUGUUAUGAUACAAAAUCAAGCAGUAAAUUUGAAAACAGUACCCGGUGCCAACGGGACCGCCAAUACCGACGGUGAAAGCUCUCUCAGAGAAGUUACGGUCGUUAAGGGGAGGAGCUCGGCGACUGAAGUAGCCAGGAGAGUAGAUUGGUUCGUGUGAGUGCGGUGCAAGUCCAUCGUGGCUAUGGAACACCCUCCCGUCCUGCCCCACCCACGACGUCUUCGUAUCGCCGGCGUCAGAUUUGCUACUCGACACAAGUAUGCAUACAGAUUAGUGGAGAAUAAAUCGCAGGAAAGAUCAAAUCUUUACAGAGAAAAACAAUGAAAACAGGAACUCAAGGCCUCACUCAUGAUCUUGAUGAUGAUGAUGAUGGUGGUCUUGCGAUGCCAUUGUCGAGAGACUUGAAUCUUCUUGUGGUUACUGUGUUGACUUUGACUGAAUCUACUCCGCGACAGGGAUCUUAUUUCGUAAGGACAAGAAAAAAAACUAUAAAAGAAUCUUUCUGAUUCUAUCCAAACUUCAAACCAAUGUGAAAGGGAGAUAGAUAUGCUUUUCUCAGUCGUCGGCUCAAAAUGACUGAAGUGCCCUUAGAUUUUGUAGUCGACUUUAUACUUAUUAGUGUUACAGAGUUUUUGUAUCACAAAAUUCCAAGACUCAAAACUGAUUUAGGUAAUUGUUGUUUGAAGAAUAAGUGCACAACAUAGGAGAUAAGGAACAAGGAUAUUUCAUAAGCAAAAAAACAUAAACCAUAGAAUCCAGACAAGGUCGAGUAGUGAGUUUCAUGAGUAGGCCUAACAUAUUGAUAAACAAAAAUAUCCGAGAAAAUCCAAAACAACAGAGAGCAUAACUUCAACAUCGAUUCCACCCCAAAAAAGAGUCAAUCUGAGACGGUUCUACAUGAACAAGUUGGGCUUGUUGGCCUUGUAAGUCGUCUUCAGCUUCCUGCUUGGUGGUCUAACCUUGCGGAACACCAAGGGGAACUUAAUCUUGCUGUUGUGGAACUGUUUGGUGCUCUCUCUCUUGCACAGCUUGGCCGGGACAGUGGCUGUCUUAAUGAUCUGGAUGCAAGGGAAUCUGACACGGUGUCGGGAAGCCAUCUCAGUGUACAUCUGUUCCACUGCUCCGUUAAGGGUGGUGUCACGGUACUCCUUGUACAUGUUGUGGUAUCCAGUUCUGCUCUGGUACCUCAACCAGAUACCGAAGUUCUUGAUUGUGGUUGGGUUCUUCUCAUAGAUCUGUGCAAACAAUUUGGUUAUGGAUGACAUUAGUCAAAAACAGACAAAUGGUACUAUAUUAAACUCAUCAGACAACAUGAUACUGUUUCUAAUUGCAAUUCGAUAAUCACGAAAUAGACUUAGGAGAAUCUAAGUCUUCAAAUUAAUGAUAUUAAACUGGACCUAAGACACACAAACAUCAUCAAAGUCAGGAAUCAGGUAAUGAUAGAUUUGCAAGAUCAAGCUACUUAGUAAUGUUCAAGUGUUGUAUAAAUCACAGAAAAACAAAAGACUACAAAAUGUCGUAGCUAUGAAUAUAACAAGAAUCAUAAGGUGAAACAAAGACACAAAUGUAAAUUAUUUAGAGGAAACAUAAACAACAAGAUUAAUCAAAACCCUAGUGUUCGAAUCUAGCAAUUCCGGAUAACGAUAAUCGACUUCAUACGCUUCUAACACAGUGAGGUAUGCUUAUCAUUUCAGAGAUGAGAAGAGAGUUAAGUACCUCGUUGAUGGCGAGCAUCUGUCCGUUACUCUUCUUGACCUUCUUCAGCUUCCUCAAGAAAUACCAGAACUUGGACUUGGCACGGACCUCGUUAGUGGCCCAGAGCUUCAUCCGGUAGAUCUUAGGCUGCACAUCCUUCUCAGUCGGGAGAGCUCUUCCGACAACCUGGUACUGGUGAAACUGCAAAAGGAAAAUACAAAGCUUAGAUCAGAUCCUUCGAAACAGAAGCAAAUGGCAACAUUGAAAUCAGGAAGGGGAUCAAAGAGCUUACCCUGAAGGUACCCAUUUUUCGUCUCGACGGGACAAAUGCGGUAGAAACCUCUCAACCAAAUGAUAGCGGCUAGGGUUCUUCCUACUUUAUAAAUGAGCGAGCAUCUGCAAAAACCCUAAUAUACUUUUAACUGAGAUCAUAAAGCCCAAUAGUCUUAAAAUUGUAGACUAAGUUUUAGCCCAAAUGUGUGUUACAACAAAGCCCAAAUACACAAUGUGGGUUACAAAGGAUUAAUAUGUUUCAAGUCAAAACGGCAAAACACAAAUGUGUGUUAACAACAAAGCCCAAACACACAAGGGUCCAAUUCGACUAUAGAUGGGAGCGGUAGCGUCGUGAGCGAGAGGAAGAGACCACCGCAAACACACACACCCACUAGUGAAGACUGAAGACUGAAGACGGUCGACAAUAACAAAAGGACACAUGAUUAAAAUGUGCUGUCUUUUAUCAAUGAGGAGGGUCGGCCAUCAUAAUCGUGGCAUUGAUUUUUAAAUAUUAUUAAUCAAUUUACAAAUACAUAUAUAUAUAUAGUUUAUAAAAUAAAACCCUCAAAUGUUUUUCUAUAUGCUCUCUCGCCUCUCAGGUUGUAUAUUGCUCUAUUAUCUUAACGACGUACAACAAUAUUGAGAAUGUGUGUUUAAAUUUUUGUAUGUCGAGUCGAUUAAUAAUGUAUUUGUACCACUAGCCACUAGCUAGGCCUCAUUGAUAUUUAUUUUAAAGGAAGAAUAGAGAUAUGACAAUGACAUAACAUACACAAAACACGUGAUAACUUCACUGGGACCAAACAAAACACAUUUAAGAGAUACGACAGAUCUGAUGGCAAUAAAACGACAUCUCUCCUCUCAAAUUCAGCAAGACAUUAUCUCCCCCUAGGGGACUUCACCUGAAGAGAGACAUCACGAUCACAAACUUUGAUAAUAUCUUCACUCUUAUCACCAAUAAUAAAUUUAUUCUUUAAAAUUUAAAAUCAAUUCAAGGAGAGGUUGGGAUACGUUUGGACAAGAACACGGUGCACCCGUCCUUUGGCGAUAUCGUGGGGCAGUAUAUGAUAUCAUCGCAGCCGUCCGAUCGAAGCCUCUUGAAAUCAAACGAAGAUGAGAACAUUGCGUUGAAGAGCACCAAGUGGUUGAGCGCGUAACGCUGCCCCACGCACUGGUGCGCACCCCAUCCAAAAGCUAGGUAGUUGCGUUUGAACACCUGGUCCUCUUGCCUUGUCUCGCUAAACCGGUCAGGAUCGAACCGGUUCGGUUCAGUAAACCCUUGGAACGAGGAGUCAAAGACCGAGGGAAACACUAUCGUACCUUUUGGGAUAGUGUAUGAUUCCGUGAGUGGGAAAUCAUUGGUAGCAAUGUGUGGCACCAUAGUUGCCGGUGGCCGGUACCUCACGACCUCACGCGCCACAGCUCGCGUGUACUUCAUCUCGGCGAGCUGAUCUGCCGUGAUUAGCUUCCCGGACUCAGGCGUCCAGAUCUUGACCACUUCCUCCCUCACUUUGCUUAGCACUUCCGGGUUUGAUUCAAGAAACGCCACCGCCCAAAGGAGUGAUGACGUGGAAGCGUCUUGCGCGGCAAAGAGAAAAUCGAAGAGAAGACCGCCGAUGGCCUCGUCUUCCGAGUGAACCGGCGGAGGAUUACCGGACUCUAUCUCUGCCACGAUUGCAUGCAUCCAAAAAUCGAUUAAACAUGUCGGCUCCUCCCCUUUCGCCAUCCUCGUUUUUGAUUUUCCGGCGCAUGAGGUGAGUGUCUCCUCUAGAUUCAUCACCGCCCGGCGAGCUUUGCUGAACGCGAAGCCAGGGAGGUUGAUCGGUAGCGCCAUUGAUCCGACAUUGAACAGGUUGUAAUCAGUACGGAACGCACUCCUAGCUUCUUUGUCAAGGUAGGGUCCGACGAAAACCGUUUGAGAAGUCUCAAGAUUGAGUUCACGGACAAGAUCUCGCAUAGCCACCGGCUUAGUUCCGCCGGAGAAACUUUCCUCCCACUGCUUAAGAUGACGGAGCAUAACUAAUUGUUGGAGAUCAGAGUAGGUUGAGAGUGCCUUGGGGGUGAAGUUAGGAGCAAGGUGACGGCGAACGGAUUUGUGAUCCUCACCGAACAAGUAGAUGAGGCUGUGGUCACCAAAGAGCUGUUUGCCAAAAGGAUGUCCGAGAGGGUGAAAUCCAUCGACACGAACGUUGGAGAAGAUUUGAUGGGAAAGCUCAGUGUCUCUGAUGUAGAUGAUGAAUUUUCCUAUGAGGUAGUUGGCAGAGAGGCCAGGGGAAGUUCCCGCCGUGGCGGAUAGCUUGUCCCAGUAGGAAGUCGGGUCAAGGACGAGUGAAACGGCGUUUCCGAUGACCGGAGGGACAAAGAAAGGGCCAGGGAGGUGACGUUUCUUGCCAAGGUAAGAGAGUUGCUCGAUUAGAAGGAAGAGAAGCAAAGCAGAGACUACGUAUGGUGCAAGAGAGGCAAAUAAGGAAACUGAGAAAACCAUCUCUUUGUUUGUUUUCUACUUCUUCUUCUUCUCAGCAGAGCUUCUCUUAGUGACUUAUGCUCUGUUUGCGAGUCUUUUUGUAUAUGUAGUAAAAAAAAAAUAUAAGGUAUUGAGGCUAUCUAUGCAAUGAUUUGUUAUACAGCAGUUGGUAAUUUGUCGAUACGUGAAAAUACAUAUGAUUGGUGUCACCCCAACAAUUUGUAAAAUAGUAAUAUGGAAUCAUAUCACACAGUCACUAGAUACUAGCUCGAUAUAUUUCAGCAUUAUGUCUAAAUAACUGUGAAGGAGCUGUAGUUAUGAAUAGCAAAACAAAAUCAUUGAGAAACUGAGACAAAAAAACAUUUGUAAAAUCUACGACCAACCCAUUUACACUUAUCAUGCUGUAGUAUGCUCUCGUGUCAAAAUGCAUGCAUGCAUGCCUUGGGUCAAAUUCAAAUUAUGGUUUCCGUCCGUUAUAAUUUAACUGAAUGUUAUAAUAUUAUAUAACUUCACAUUAUUACUGAUAUAACUCCUCACUAAGAAAUGCAAUUUACAACCAUCAGAAAAAACAAAAAAUGCGUGAGUAGUUAAGUAAUGCUUGGAAGAUAUAUUUGCGUAUAUUAAAACAAACUAGUCAAAGUAAUGUGAUAGAAGAGGUCGUAUUUUAUAAAAUGGCAGAGCUUGAAUAUUACGUUUGGCAUAAAUGUGCAAAACAUUGAAACUACGUUACUAGCAGUCUAGCACUUAUAAAUUAAGUAUUUUUUUUCUGCAUUGUUCAGUCUAAACAAACUACUUUAAAUACGAUCACUAAUUCACUAUGAAUUUUUAAAAAGAAUAUUAAUCUUUUUAAAAAUCGAAAACAUUGCAUCACUCGGGUGUUUUCCAUUACUACAAAGUGAGUAGGUCCAUAUUUGUUCUCUGCAAACCAAUAAGGAAUAACCAAGUAUACUUAUAUUUUCAACUGCUUUAUUAUAAAUAGUGGAAGUCCUAGUAUUAUUGGUCUAGUAUUAUAAAUAGACCAAGAAUUGUUUAAUUUUUGUCUUCUCAAAGGUAGACCAAGAAUUUAUUUAGAAAUUUAAUACUAUAAAUGGGGAUUCAAUUCUAAUUAUGCAUAUCAGCUGACAUAAACUUAGUUACCGUCUGUCUAUGCUAACCAAUGUAUUUCGAGGUUUAUUAUUAUGUUCUAAAUGGAUUUAUUUCCGAUCAUUAAGUCACGUGUUACACAUUUAAUCUAUACAUGUCUAUUUUUGUCGGCCAGAUGUAAGUCUAAUUAAUUCUUUUGUCAGUAGAGAGCGUUGGGAGAUAUUAUUUGUUCUAAGAUAAUAAAUAUACUACGUUCUAAAUAUCAAUAUAUUUAAUUUGCCUAAAAUAUACACUACAUUAUUAUAUGUAAAAAAAUAUCCUACAUAAAAAUUGUUAAUUCAAACCCCCGCAAAAAAAUAUAAAACACUGAAAAUUUAUUUCAAUUUUCUGUUUUAUCGUUUUCUGAGAAGAAAAAAAAUAUGAUAUUAAAAAAAAAAACAAAUAGUGAUAUUUUUAGAAAACAAUGAAAAUGAUAUCUUGAAAAAUUUCUCUUUUUAUGUCUUAUCAUUACCAUUUUAAUAUUAUAUAUAUAUACAGUACUACCCGAUCGUAUAUUUUUGUAAGUUAGAAAGUGACCUUUGGAGUUGUAAAUCACAAUAUUUCUUUCUUUCUAUGUAGCUAUAUAAUGAAACUGUAUCUUCUUUCACACACACACAUAUAUAUAUGAGCAUGUGCAUCUAUAGUCUCUCAUUAAAUUUCUCAACAAACAAUCAAAAUGAAUACUAUAAUUACAUUAUGUAGAAGUAAUUUUUAUUGUUAUUAUAUUAAUUAGUUAUCUUGAAAAUUGAGAGACUAUUUUCAAAAUCUUUCAUAUACUCCAUUUGUUUCACAAAAAGUGUUACUUUGACACAUUUCACACAUUAAAAAACAUUAUACAUAUAUGCUUCUAUUAAAUAUGUGUUAAUAGUUUAACUAGUUUUUAAAUUAAGGGUAAAAUUAAGAAAUGUAUUAUUAAAAAUGCAUUGAAAAUGUAAAAUGACAUUCUUUGUGAAACAAAAUUAAAACUCUAGAAUGAUAUUCUUGGUGAAACAGAGGGAGUAUUUGUUAAGAAACUUGAUGAAACUAUGAAUAUGCAAGCUCUAAAUUAAAGAGCCAAUUUUAGUUCAAAUCAGCCUUUUAUCAGGGUGUAUUUUUUUCUUUCGGUUACAAUCUCAUUUCAUGAACUUUUCAAUAACCGCCUCUAAGAAUUUGUCAAUAACCGCCCUUAAAAUCUAGCUAGUAUGCAUCACCGUAAUCAACAUUUUCAACAACCUCAGUUUCAUGAUUGAUCGGUAACUUAUGUUCUUAUUAUAGGUUGUAAUUUUGGGUCAAAUAUGUUUUGGUCGUCUUCAUCCUGCUUCGAGCAAACUUUCUUUGAAGAUAUCGGAUAAGUGGAGUGCCAUUGAAAUCAUAUGUCAAUAUGCAAUCAGUGUAAACAAAGUCGUAUAAAACACCCAAACUAUCUUAGAAGAUCUUUAUUGCAAGCAUUUUAAAUAUUAAUCUUAUAAUUAAUGUAGUAUUAUAAUUGAAAAUGUAUCUUAACACAAUGUUUUGUAUCUUAUAAGAUACAUACCUUAUCAAUUAACUUUAUUUUGCAUUUAAUUAAAAUUAAAAAUUAAUUUAAGAAUUUCUUAAGAUCCGCCCAUUAAAGAUUAAGAUCCUCCCAUUAAGAUGGUCUAAAUGUAGUUAUUAUAGCUCGACGAUUUGUCUCCAACGACAUGCAUGCGAUGCUCGUAGAGGCAAACGUCGCAUUUGGUAUCGUUUUUUUAAUCAUGAGAGUUAAAGUUUACGGGUGGAUCGAUGUUAAUGUGAGAUAUUGUGUGGUAGAAGUGAUUUUAUUGAUAAUUAGAGUGGUCCAAAACAAGGUUAGACGAAUUCAAAAGAACUGUGAGAUAAGGUUAACGACUGGUAUGCUUUUUUCAUUUAAAUAAACGACGGCAAAAACUAAACAACUAAACAUAGUAUGAAGCACGUUAUAACAUCACUGAUUCACUGAGACAAAAGAAACUGAAAAAGAAAUUAAAGAAGUAAAAGACAACAACACAAACAGAGAUAUGGUGAAAACAUGCGUGCAUGGUAAAAGUAAAGCAAAUGACAUGUCUUCUCACUUCGAGAGACACAUCACGAAAAGCAAAUAAACUUAAACUUCAAGUAAAAUCACACUUUUGACUUUGAUCGCCAAUAAAUUUUAAGAAAAAUCCAACUGGAUCAGUUUAAAGGGAGAGAGAGAGGUUGGGAUACUUUGCGACGCGUCUAGACAAGAACACGGUGCAGCCAUCCUUGGGUGAUAUCGUAGGGCAGUACACGAUGUCAUCGCAGCCGUCUGAUCGAAGCCUCUUGAAAUCAAACAAAGACGAGAACAUUGCGAUGAAGAGCACCAAGUGGUUCAACGCGUAACGCUGCCCCACGCAUUGGUGAGGCCCCCAUCCAAAUGCUAGGAAGUUGCGCUUGAACACCUGGUCCUCUUGCCUUGUCUCGCUAAACCGGUCAGGAUCGAACCGGUCCGGUUCAGUAAACCCUUGAAACGAAGAGUCGAAAACAGAAGGCAAGACAAGUGCUCCUUUAGGGAUAGUGUACGAUUCCGUGAGAGGGAAGUCUGUAGCUGCGACGUGAGGGACCAGAGUUGCCGGAGGCCUGUAUCUCACCACCUCACGCGCCACGGAACGCGUGUACUUCAUCUCCGCCAGCUGAUCGACGGUGAUCAAUGCGUUGGACUCAGGCGACCAGAUCUUGGCUACUUCCUCUCUUACUCUGUUCAGCACUUCCGGCUCCGACUCAAGAAGCGUCACUGCCCAUAGUAGUGAUGAUGUGGAUGCGUCUUGCGCGGCAAAUAGAAAAUCGAAGAGCAAGCCGCCGAUAUCUUCGUCUCCGGAGUGCGGCGGCGGUGGACUCUCCUCGACGAUCGCCUGCAUCCAGAAAUCGAUUAGGCAUGUUGGUUUGUCUCCUGCAGCCAUCCGCACUUUUGAUUUUCCGGCGCAAAUGGCGAGCGUCUCCGCUAGCCUAGUUACUGCCCGGCGAGCCUCACCGAACGCGAAGCCAGGGAGGUCGAUGGGGAGAGCCAUGGCUCCGAGAUUGAACAGAUUGUAAUCAGUACGGAACCUGUUUUUGGCUUCCUUGUCAAGGUACGUUCCAACGAAAACCGUCUGUGAAGUCUCGAGGUUUAAUUCACGGACAAGCUGUCGCAGCGACACCGGAUUAGAUCCUCCGGCGGUACUCUCCUCCCAUCUCUGUAGAUGACGGAGGAUAACUAACUGCUGGGAGGCAGAGUAGGUCGAGAGUGCCUUGGGGUUGAAGUUAGGAGCGAUCUGACGGCGGACGGAUUUGUGAUCCUCCCCGAACAUGUAAAUGAGGUUGUGUUCACCGAAGAGCUUCUUUCCAAAGGGAUGUCCGAUGAGGUGGAAGGCAUCUGGACGAACGUUUGAGAAGAUUUGAUGAGAGAGCUCAGUGUCUCUGAUGUAGACUAUGAAUUUCCCGAUGAGGUAGUUGGCGGAGAUGCCUGAGAUGGUCGCGGUGGCGGAUUGCUUGUCCCAGAAGGAAGUAGGGUCACGGACGAGUGCAACAGCGUUUCCGAUGAUCGGAGGGACAAAGAGUGGACCAGGGAGGUUGCGUUUCUUGACAAGGUAAGAGAGUUGCUCUAUGAGAAGGAAGAGGAGUAAUGCUGAGACGACGUAAGGUGCGAGAGAGGCAAAUAGAGAAACAGAGAAAACCAUAUCUUUCUUGUUUCUCUACUUCUUUUAUUAGUAAAGCUUCUCUUGAGGUUUUUUGUGUAUAAAAUGGAAAUGAUUGAAGAACAAGAAGAAGAAGAGGGUUUUGCUUUGUUGUCUUGGACUGCCUUUUGUCUUUCUUGAUGUUCCUUUGUUUGGUGGGAUUUUCAGAAUUUUCUAAUAGGUUUUGGGGAAUUGGAUUGAAGCUGUGUUUGCAAAUUGCAGUGGUAUUGGGACAAGAAGAAUUCAGAUUUCUUUCUCUGCUCUGUUUCUUUUAUAUACUUUCUUAAUCAUAUAUGUCUUGUCUAUCUGGAGGUAGAGAGAAAGAGACGAAUAUAAUGGAUUGACCAUAAGCUGUGGUUGAGAUCAGUUUUAUAAAGAAAAUUCUAAUCAUAAUUGGUUAGUUGUAAUUAAUACAAAGCACAUUAAGUAUUAUUUUUCCUGUAAGAUACUAAUCUAAAAGAGGACUCGUGUAUAUAUGUAACAAGUAACAACACAAUGAAAUAUAAGAAUAUUUGAUUUAUAAUAUGAUAGUUUUGAAAAUUUGUGAGUAGUAUGUUGACUUGAUCACGAUUCUAAUAAGACAUCACUGUCUGAUAGAUACUGUUCUUUGGAUAAAUUUGGUUUUUGAGGUUAUCUCAAUACUCAAUAGAUGACUUUGGAUUUUAUUUUUUAACUCCCAAAUGAAUUGUUUGUUUUGUUAACAGCUCUUUGACCUUCAAAGGCUCACACAGUCAGACCCUAUCAACCUGACUUGCUCUAAAUCAUCAAAAUAUCAUUAACAAAUAAUUGUUGAAAAUAGUAAAAUAAUAACGCUUUGCGUUUAGUUUUUUUUUUUUUUGUUCAUGUUUUGAUAAUCUGCUUAUAUAUAUUUAUCUCGGUAAGCUUCAAUCAUUGUCCAACUAUGUUUAAAUAAAUAGUGCGCGUGUCCUAACACAAAACUAUACUAUUUUAAAGCUUUUGAAUUGUAAUGACGUCUCAAGUUGCGUAUGUAUCGCGCAAUUCAAGUGACUUUUUUUUUUUCUUUUUAAUUCCAAAUCCAAAUAUGUAUGUCGUCUCUCAAAUGUGUGCGAUUGAAAAUCGCUCUAGCUAUUCUAAUGCAUGGACUUCCACAACCAAUAAGCGAGAUUCUAAUUAUGACAUGGAUCUUAAGAUUUUGAUUUUUAAUUAAUGUUGUUGUUGUGAUCUUCACGACUUCACCCUUACUCGGUAAUCGGUAUAGUUGCAUAUUAUGAAAAUUAUAAAUUUAGAAAAUUGAAAUGGUUUUACGUUUAGAGAGAGUUGUAUGUAUGUAUAUAUGUUAUAUCAUUAAGUUGUUGACUAUAAAAUUGUUAAUUAGUAUUUUCAAUGUCUAAUUUGUGAGAUAAACACAAAUACGUGUUCAAAAUAAAAUAGAUAAGCAUGAGUUAAUGCCGUAUAAAAACAUUAAACUAGUAUGUUUUCGAAUUAUGAUUGGCCCAAAAUUUUUAUGGCGACAGAUCUAAACAUUGAGAACUUGAACGACUCAUUUAUUAAUGUAGUUGCAUAGCAAUUAUUAGCAAAUAUAAAAAUGCGAUUAGAAAAGUCAUAUAAAUCAUAUAUAUAAAUGAAAGAGUAAUCUCUCGUUUGUAGACUUGUUAGAAUUUCUAUCAGACUAAUGAUACCACUAUAAUAUUAAUACUAUAUUAGAAAAUCUACAAAAUUCUCAUGUCAUGGUUUUGGAAUCCGAAUCUUAUCACUAACCAAUUUCCUUAUUUGAUCUAAGAAGGUUAGUUCGAUAUAUUGUUUUAGUGCAUACAGUAUGUCGAGGACAAGAGUUAGAUGAUACAUCUUAUUCUAAAUUUUCUUUAAUCAUAUCAAGCCAACUUCUGUUUAGAUAUAUAAAGCAUAGAACAAAAACCAUAUUAAACCUCUCGUGUUUUUGGCUUAGAAGGUUCUUCUUCGUGGCCGUAUAUAUAUAUAUAUAUAUAUAGAUAUAUAUAUAUAUUAAUCUCUCUAGAAUCAACGCCGUUGACCAUUUUUAAAAAAUGUAAAUCAGUUUUAUUGUGUGUGUACGUGACUGCUUGAUAGCUAGUUUCUUGUCUCUUGAUAAUGUUUUUUUUUCGAUCAAGAAGUUUCAGAUAGUGUUUUCAUUACAAAAUCAUAUCCUUUCUAGUACUAAAAUAAUAACUAUAUGACCUCUCCAUAUAUCUUCUGAUUAGUUUGGCUUUAGGGUAAAACAUCUAUUUGACAAUACUUUUGACAAAAAGAAGAAAAAAGAAUCAAAUCCAUAUUUAUAAAAGAAGGAAUCAUGUUACAACUUCUCUUGUGAUUCAGACUUAUUUUGAAUGUUGAUUUUUCUAUUGUCAGCCGCUUAGCAUCUUUCCAACAUCCAAUUUUGAACUUUUGAACUUUGAAGAAUCAUUUUAGAAAGGUGAAGAAAAAUCAGUAUAAUGAUAAUUAAUAAACACAUUUGGAUAAAAUUCUUCCCCUGAUUCUUCUUUGUAUUAUAAUAUUUAUAGAAGUCAAUGAACGUUAUUUGGCGCCGUGGAAUAUAAUUCUUUCUUCUUUUUUUCAGUCUCGAAGACGACUUAUUUCUUUCCCAAAGUUUUGAAACGAAGAUGGUCAUAAAACGGAGACACACAUCUUCUAGGGUGUACAUGCAGUAAUGUGAUAUAAUUUUGCAUUAGUUACCUGAAUAGAUGUUUUGUACUUUUGUUUGUAUAAAUGCCUUAAGAUCUCAAGUGAAAAUAUGAAAAGACCAAUAAGUUAGAGUAACUCAAAAGGACAGCAUAAAAUGCAAAACUAGCGGACAAGUGAAUCUUGUCUAGCCAAAUUUGCCAACGGUGUCAUUUUAUACGAAGUCUGAUAUGCUUGCAUUCGAGUUUUGUUCUUCCAAUUUUGCAGACUUCCCCUUCCGUAAUUACUAAUUACUAACAACACGUUAAUCUUCUUCUUUUUUCUCUUUCACAUAAUACAUUUAAUUAUAGUCUACUGGUUAUAGUAUCAGUGAAUAUAAUAUGGAAAAGAAGGAAAAAAACGGACUAUGAAUUGUUAUUUUGAUGCAUAUAUCAAAAAUCAAAACAAAAUGCACAUGCACCGUAACAAUGUAAGUGAUUCUUGAUCUUUGAAAGUAAUUCACACGAAAAUAUGAGUUUGAGGGGAAAAAAAAAACAUUUUACCACUGACCAGCUUAAAGAGAAUGAAAAAUUUAAAAAAUUCUCUGAAACAGAUUCUACUAAGAGAUUACCCAAAGAUGAAGCACAAUCUAGCUUCCUAUACCAGAUUCAUAAGAGGAAACGUAUAGCUAGAUGGCCUACGUGCCAAUACAUUGCAUCACGGACACGCUUAUGGUUUAGUGUUUUAACAAUUUAGAUUACCUUGAAAAUCCACAAUGAUGAAAACUAAUCUAGAUAGCCGUGUCAACUGGAAAGCUAGUUCAAACUCUUCAAUGAGAGUUGCACGAAUCUGCCUAGGUUCCAAUAAACAAUCCAUUAUAAUUCAUUAGCAUAAAAGCAUGUGAAAUGAUUUCAGUGAACUAGCUUACCUCAAUUUGCACUAAAAAGCUACUAUUUAGUGAUUUCAACGACCGUGAAUUGCAUAAAAAGGUACUUUCUCAUAUAACUAGUAGCUUGAAUCCGAUACAACAUUGGAGUCCCGGUUUAUCAAUACCAUUUUCUAAUCCGGAACAAUCUACAUGAACACCAAUGUGAGAAGAAUAAAAGCCGGAAAACCAAAUCCAACCCUACUAGAACCGGAGAACCAGACCUUAACGUCAUCAAUCACAGGUCCACACAAGGAACUCAUAUCGUCCGUCCUCGUAUUGUAAUAAACGCUGUAGAAAGCGAUCCUCGUACGGUCAGCUUUCGCCGUGAAAUUCACUUCCGAUAUCUCGAAAGUAGAGUUCGCUUGCGCCAUAUAAUGAAAGUUCUGUGCUUGAUCUCCCGCAAAAGCCAUUACAGCCAAAGGUUCCUUGCACUUGUCUCCUGCAUGACCCAAUGAGAAAGAUAGCUUAUACGGAGUGUUAGCCUUUGUCUCAACCAUUUGAGAAAUUAUGCCUUCUUUGCCCGACAGAAGCUCUAUAGCUCGCCUCCCCUCAGGAACAGAGAAGUGGUCCGAGUCAAUAAACCUGACUGCUCGGUUCGAUUCUACUGUCCAUCCCGGAAGUGACGAUAUUUCUUCGUCAAGACAUGUCGGAAGCAGAACACCUAAGGUCGUGUUCCUAAACAUCCAUGGACCUUCUUCAAAAUCUCCAUUAAUCACUGCAUUGCCUGUAACAGCACAACAUCUACAUUAGUUAUUGGUGUGUAAUUAAAACAAAUAGUAAUAAAGGAGGAAACGUUACGUUUUGGUUUAUCAGGAGUGAAGAGCUUCUUAACGGCAAUGUCGUCGAUGAUAGGGCCACAAGUAGGAUCAUCCUCCAUGUCAGGAUUCCUAAAAACCAACCUGACGCGAUCCACAACCGCUUCAAACGCCCAUGCAUAUGGAUCCCACCCUUGAACGCUGUAAAGCGUUUGUAAAUCGAUGGUCCGCGACGCGAUUGGCUCAUCGGAAGAAGCAACCGAAACGUUCAGCGACUCUAGCUGUGCACACGUGCGGGCGGCGCUGAACGUGACGGAGUAGACCGAACCUUUCUCCACCGCCAGUUCUUGGCUGAUCUCUGCUUCGUUUCCUAAUCUAACGGCGUGACGACCUUCAGGCACGAUCAAGAUCAUCCCGCCUUGUUUUUGACCGGACUUUAUUAACUCCACCAUGCCGUCAGAUCGCCAGCUCGGGAUCUCUGAGGCGUCGUGGAUGAUCGCGUCAUCAUCGGGGAAACCGUUUAAUGGCGGAGUCUCGAAGUUGCCGUUAACCACCAAGCCUGGGGAAAAAAACGUAUCCGGUUAAACAGGAGAUCACUUAAUUAUAAUUUAUAAAGAAAAAAGGGUUUAAUUACCGAAAUUGAUAAAAUUGUGUCAGAAAAUAAAAUAUGAUGGAAACGUGUAUAAGUGUAUAACAACAAUUUCAUAUUUUAUUUCCAGUUUUGGGCCAUACAUUCUCUCAAGAAAUCUAGAAAAAUAAUCCCAAAUUAUAUUCUUUCUCUCGUAUUUCUCGUGAGUUUACAUUUACCUAUUAGUUAAAAGGUUAGAAAAAAAUAAUAAUAUACAGAACAUAGAAGAGAAGACACGAGAAUUGAACAAUUUCAUAAAUUAGGCCCCACGGCAUUAACUUGCUAGGGUCUCAACAUUCAUUUGACUAACAGUUACAAAGUACCCUUUUCCUUAGGGAACGGGUAAACAAAACCUGGUUUUGAGGUGUUGGAGACUUGAAUUGAAUCAAACGAAACUGAGAGAUUAUCAAAGGAGCUGAGAAAAGGGUUUUUACUAUUAUUUUAACACAGGAAUGGCCUACAGCUAUUAUAAACUAAUGAAUAAGGUAAGACCCACAAACUUACUUUUUGUUUAUUUUCUGAUUGUGACUGAUUAAAAAUUGGAAAAAGGAUUUUUUUUACUCGUUGCUCAACUCAGACCAAGAAGAAGUGAUGAGAUUACCCUAAAAAAAUACCAAAUCCAUGUGAAGAUUAUAAACUUUUCAUUCCUUAUCCAGUUUUUGUUGUUAUCCAGAUCUGUUUUAGAAAGAAGAACUAAACACUACUAUAGGCGAUGUUGAAUAAUCCUCUGUUCUUGGAACAGAGAAGUUAGGCUGGGUUUACGUUUCCGUAAUCAAAUUCAUCACAGAAGAAACAGAAUCAUGCUUUCGCCAACCAAUUAACAAACACUACGAGGAAAACCACCAACACUAUUAACCACGAAACAAAAAACAAAUCAAGAAAGGUGACGAGAUUGUGAUAUAGUAUAGCUUACCGUCUUCGACUGGUGAAGUUUUGCCGGCGGAGUCUCCCGCGGUGACAAUGGAGAGACCAAGCAGAAGCACUACUAUGGAGAUGAAAACCGAUUUGAAACUAUUGUUGUUGUAAAGCACCAUCUCUCACUGUCUUUCAAUGAACAGUAGAAACUAGAAAGUGUUUCUGCUUGUUCUUUUUGUGCAACGGAGCCAAAGCAGGGAAGAAGAGUCUAGUGUCCCUUUUAUCCAAACUCCUUCCAGCUGUUCUUUUUGUUCCAUUAUUCUUAUAUUUACAAACCGCGUGGUGGUACUGGUCGUAGUCAUUGGUCUACACGAGAGUGGCUUACUUAUGUUCUCCCUUACUCAUUUAUCUAUUAUGGACCAAUGACCACUUUCCUUUUCUCUUUUCAUUUUUGUUAAAAUUAAUCACUUGUCUUUACCCUUUAGAUCAGUCCAAGCGAAGAGAUAAGGGGAAAAGGACAUCUUAUUUUGGAAUUCAGAGACACUCAAACGUAAUGGUGAGUGAUUCAAGAAGCAAUCAGGACUUCCAUCAAGUUGAACUGUUGAGGUACCCAAGUUACACAAACAUUAUCACUAAUGUUGCAAGAGGCAAAUUGUUUCUUUCCAAAAUUGGGCUCAGGCAGAGACUUAAUACCAUGACAUAGGAUGCAUAUGUAAAGGUGCGGAAAGCCUAAGAAGGUUGAUCAUUGCUUAAUGUUGUCUGCUUAAGAUAUCUAUCACAACUCCCCUGCUGCUGUUUUCCGAAGAAUUGAGCAGCUUUGAUGUUAUACAUUUUUACCUAAAAAUCGUUUUCUUCUAGCCAUAUCUUGUUUGAACAUCCCAAAGGGCACAUAAGCAUAUAAUAAUUGAUAAGUUCUUCGUGAGUUUACCUCUACUCUUCAGUAAUCUUCCCUAAUCUACACGAUAAGGAAACUGGCUCAGAGUUACCACCUACUUUCUCAACAUUAUAUUCCAAAGCAAAGUGUUCUAAAACUUCAACCUUUUACUUUAGCAAUGCAUCAUACUCCUUAGUGAAAGGUUGCUAAACUUUAUGUAUCAUGAUUCAACCACAAAAAUUGCUACGAUAACUACACAAGCCUUAGUGAGAUCAUAGAGAUCAUAAAGAAAGAGCAUGCUUUGUAGAUGGUGUUUAACUUAUUCAACGAGAAAUGCUAGAAUAACUGAGAAAGAGAUCGUAAACAAAGAGCAAGCUAAGUUUUGUGAUGGUGUUAAAAAUGUUUACACCAUCAUACAAACAGCUACUUGGGUAAUUGUAUUUACCACAAAAAAGUUUCUUCAAUUCCUUGCUCCCAUUUCUCCACAAUCAUCUUCUUCCCUGAAACAAAACAUCAAUUUAUCAUCAUCAUCUAAGUAACAUACAACAUAACAGUAAGGAGAAUCAAAUACACUUACUUGGAUCGGUCACAAAUAGACUACCAAGACGAUUUUUUAAUUCCCAUCAAAGCACCUUUAUUUGCUAAUCCACGGAAAACGAUUCGAGAAACCCGAAACAGCUCUGUCACAGAACGACCUCGACCAGUGAACACACAACGGUUUCUGAUUCUCACAAACGCACUAUUCCUCGGCAACUUCGAGAGCUUAUAACGAUUCUUGUCUCUCAUUUCGCUGGGAAGAUCCGGAUCUUUGCAAAACGCUUUGUACAGCUUUCUCCUCAGUUCAAAUCUAGCAGCGAGCAAUCUACGUCUGUGAUCUGCACUGUUCCUCUUCACACCUUGCUCGGUGCCGCUAUGCUUCGGUCCCGAUUUCAUAAGCGUCGUCGUGAAAAGUCUACCUUGGAUUUGACCGAGAUUGUUCGGAUGCUUAACCACAGAUCGACAUAACAGCCCUGAAGACGCAAAAUGUGAUUGAGAGAAGGAUCUUUGGCAAUAUGAAGAUACGUUGCGCAGUACUCCUCGGAGACUCGCCAUUGAUUCAGGAGAUUGGAGGGGGAAACGCCGCCGCGGAAAUGGUUUAGGGUUCUCUCUCAAGUUGGAAAAGCAAAUUCAGAUUGAAAAUUUUCACUUCUUCUGGUGACAAUGGUUUUUGGGCCUAUUUUUAAUUCUAUUCGGCCCACUAAAAGCCCGUAAUAACAUGUACAUAAAACAGCAUGGAUGAUCCAUUGUGGAAAAGCUUGCACUUAUGUUUUGAUUAUCUUUUUGCUAAACAUGAUACUGUAUAUAUACUGUACACAUACUGUAUCUUGGAUUUUUUUUGGAGGUCUAAAUUUUGAUGUGUUAUUAUUUAUGUAUCAAAUCAUAUGAUCAUUCUUUAACCAUUUCAAGAUUUCAUUGAAGUCUAUCUUCCAUUGUUUUAUCUUUGACUAAUUUCGAUUUUCUUUUGUUGCCAUCUUCGAUUUCGUGCUUGAGAGACUCCAUUACUUUCUUGAACUCGGCGAAUGUGAUCUGUUCAGUUUCAUAUUCUUCUGAGCUUCCAGGCCAUUGUAGACUAAUUUGGAUCUCUCUGAACUUGUUGAAUGUCUCCUCGACUUGUUUCAUAGGAUCAUUUCGAAGGUAAUGGAUUAUAGUCUGAGAGAUAAAUGAAAUUUUCACAAUAAGUAAAAUAGGAAGAUAAACUGAAUACUAUAUAGAUUACUCUAUGUGACUUGCCUGGUAUAGAGGACGUCUUGCAUCUGUUAUGACUUCAUCCUCUAGACACUUACAUUUUGUUGCCUCUUCCAUGUUUCCCUAUUAGUAAAAAACUAAAUUAUUAUUAUAUAGAUGUGGUGAAAAAAAUCAUGUAUUAUGAGAAAUGAAAUUAUAGAGCAAACCAAGUAGAUCAACAUCUCCACAAGCAACAUUUCAAUCUCAUAAGCCUCAUGACCUUUCUCUUCUUUUCUUGCUUUCUCCAAUGCUUUCUUCAAUAUCUCAACACCUUUUGCUUCUUUCCCACUCAUUUCCAUCUUCACAAUGUCUCUCUAGAAGAGGGAGAUGACAUAAAGUUUAUAUAUGAACAAACCGAAAGAGAACAAAAAUAUAUAUGUGACCAAACUUUUUUUUUUUUGCUAAACAUAUAUGUGAACAAACCUGAAGCAUCCCAAAGUCCGGGUGUUCCUUGGAAAGCAAUGCUUCAAACUCAAUCUCGGCAUUCGCAAGUGAAGAAGUAUCAGCGCGAUAUGAGUGCAAAUCAAGCAAUCUCUGCAAUGCCAACGUUCCUCCUCUAAUAGCCCCCACUGAAACAGAUCUUGAGAGGCCUUUCUGAUCUCUUCCAGAGGAAGCCUCCUUACCAAUGCUUUUAACAUCAUCAUCUCUUUUUUGUUCUACAACGCUUUUACCAUUGCUUUUUCUGAUAUCUCGACCGUUUUUAUCGUCUUUCUUUCUCCAUAAGCCACGAUUUAUGUAGCUCCAAGCGACGUAUGCACCGGCAACGAUGAAUACAGGUGCAACUGCUGCUCCAUACUUGGUCUUCAUGCUGACCUUGUUCUUGGACUGAUUCACCAUAUACUUACCUAAAUUGUAUGUUAAUUGUCCGAUUAUUUGUGUUUUGGAAUGUCAAAUAUUAAAACUUUCUUAUGGAAAGUUGGUUUUAUACACAAGAAGAACUGGAUUGCAAGUGGAAGAGGAAAAACAUUCAAGUUAUUCUAAUGUUAGUCUUGUAUCAUAGGUAAAGAAGUUUAUUAUACUUUAAUCGAAGAGAUACACGAACAAAGAAUAUAUUGCCAUGGGAAUUUCCAAUGUCCCAAACUAUAGAGAAAAGAAUAAUAUUUUCUGAAUCAAAUACUACAAUGAAAACCCACUAAUCUGCAAAAUGUAUGUACUACCACUAGAUCAAACGUCUCUAAGAAUACAAAGGGAACAAAUGAACAUUUAUCUUGUAAUUUCGAAAAAUAGGAUACCAAACAGUAAAUAAGCUAUCGAAACCUUGCCUAAAUACGUACUGGCUUGUUUAAGCAAGCAAAUUAAAAUCUUAGAUUCCUUUUCGUCAAUCUCAAGUUACUUCUGUCUGAAGCAACAAAUCGAUGCUUUCCUUCACAAACCCUAAAUCUCUAAGAUGUUCUAUGCAUGUGGAGAAACUAAGAAAAAAAAACAAAAGGGUAACAAGUAUUACCUAACACAACAACCAUUUUUAUUUCUCUUAUUACUCUUAGGAAAAGAAUGACUUCUACAUUUCUUCUAGGCCAUAGUCAGAAACUCACACUUCCUUUCCCUAACUUCACCUUUUCACAUAAAUCAAUUCUCAGAUCUCAAACCCCUUAUUUUGUUAUUCCCUCCAAUGGCGGUCAAAGCGGCCGUUCGUUCAUCAGAUCGCCAAUCACGAUGGCCAAAUCAAACAGCAAAAGUGAUUCUCACGAUGAUAAAAAGCUCGUAACGCCACUAAAAGUGGCGGCGGGAGCAUCCCUAGCACUUGCUUGCGCCUUAAGCAUCUUCGGCUUAAAGAUAAAGAAUACGACCUACAAUGCCGUCGCAGCUGCUCAUCCAAGUGCCGCCGACAUGAUCAUAUCCGGGAAGCCGACCUCAGCCGUAUCCGCUAAUUCCGGUAUGUAUCCUUUGCCAGCUAAGUUCGCAUUGAGGUCUCUCUUUGAAGUGAGCUCAAUGCUUGCUUCGGGUAAACCCAUUCCUUCUCAAAGACAAUUCAGUCUCCAAAAGCUCCCUUCUUUGCCUUCAAAGGAAGAUAUUGAUUCCAUUAAGGUACAAUCUGGAAACAUAUAAAUAUCUUUUUUUUUUCCAGUAUUUUAGUGUCACGUGAGUUCUUGAUCCUCUAGAGUCUAGACUAAGACUAGCCAGUAGGAAUGUUAUACGGAUAUGUAUAUAAAAACUUGUGGGGUGUAUAUAGAUGGAGGCUGUACGGAAGAUGAAGGAAGGAAAAUGUGAGGAGGCGGUGCAGCUCCUUCGUGACGCAAACAUGCGCUACAAAAACGAGCCUGAGGCCGACUUCAACGUCCAGAUGGCUCUUGUUGAGAUUCUAAUUUUGCUGGUACCUUUUUUAUUUUCUUUAUAAUUAUUUUCUACGUACUGUCACAGUAUUAUUGUUAAAUUAGGGUUUGUAAUGGGCUUCCAACUCAAAACCAAUUGGCAAUGAGUGGAUUGGCCCUAACCCUUUAUAUAUUACUUAAGUCCCCUCACAUCUUCCGAUGUGGGAUCUUUUCUCCACACGCCCCCUCGAGAUAAUGGCUCUUUUAGCCAUUAAUCUCGACAGAAUUCAUCACACCCCCUCGAGAUAAUGCUCUUCUAGAGCUCUCGAUGGAAUUGGGCCUUAUUUUGGGCCAUCAAUUAAUGGGGUGAUCGGGGCUCUAUCCGGGCCGGAUUAAUUAAUGGGUCAGCGUGUGUUCGGGCUCUGAUACCAUGUUAAAUUAGGGUUUGUAAUGGGAUUCCAACUCAAAACCAAUUGGCAAUGAGUGGAUUGGCCCUAACCCUUUAUAUAUUAUUUAAGUCCACUCACAUCUUCCGAUGUGGGAUCUUUUCUCCACAAGUAUAAUCUUUGAUGCAUGCAAUUUUUUUGAAAAAUUUAUAGUCUUUGAUUAAUGGUUAGUUUUAUUUGGACGGUAUUGUAGGAAAGGUAUCAAGAAGCUGCUGAGUAUAGUUGUCUAAAUGACGAUAAUGCUCAGAUUUCUGAUGUUCGAAUCCCUCUUUAUAAGGUUUGUGAACAUAACUCGUACAUCUUUGUAUUCAAUUUUGUUAAAGAGUAAAUAAACUAUAUAGUACUACUUGUUAAUUGGAUUAAUCAUAUCAGUGGAAAUUAAAAACAAAUCUACCGCAAUGUUUUUAGUUGUCGAAAGGUAGUAAUGUGGUUCAUUGUAAAAAGUACAGGCAAUAAUAUACACAAUGUUAGACAAAGACACGGAAGCCAAGCAGUGUUGGAAAGAGUUCAGAAAGUCUAUUGGUGAAGGAUUUGACCCUUUCAGCUUCGAAGAAUGAUUAUCUCACUACUAUUCAUAUGCGGAAAUUUUAAUGAAUACUUUUAGAUCAAUCAUUGAUUACUUAAAAAAAAACGUAUUGUCAUCACUUUGAAUUUGAUUUUAUGGAGAAUAUUCCAAGACAAUAUUACGAAAAAAGUAACAUAACUAGUCCUUUUAACACUCUUCUUUGUUUCAUCAUAUAUCGUCUUAUGAGAAGCUAGAUAUAUCUUCGAAGUUUGGUAAGAUGACAACCCCGGUCAGUAUUGUUGACGUCAUUAGCAAAUUAAAGUGCUAUCCAACAAAAUAAAAAAUGUACACAUUCUAUAAAUGAUUCACAAAGUUUUGGGCAUGAUUCGAUGAACAUCCUUGGAAAUGGUGAGCAUUCAAUAUCACCACAUGAAUCUCUCAGCUGCUAUCAUCAAAAAUAAUUUUCAGAUCAAUCAUGUUCUUAGAUCCAUUUGUAAUAAAAGCAAACUGCGUAUAUAUCCAUUUCCGAGGUAUCUAAUAAGUUUGUCACCGCCGGAAAAUAGAUUCUAGCAGAGAGAUAAUGUAUACGGAAAUAUAGAGAGUGAUCAUGGAUGAUGAUGACAUGCUUCACCCAAUAAUCCGACAGAAAUAUAAUAUAUAGUGUCUGUCUCCAUGCAAUAGAGAAAAAGGACAAAGGAUGCCUAAUAAUAGAAAACACGCACUCCCACGUACUUAAGCAGACCAGGCGACGAAGUAAGCUGUGCACAACAUCCACAACCACGUGACCUCUAAUUUGUUUAGUUCCCGACCGACUCAGCGUGGUUUAACACACUACACUUAUCACAUUUUUGUCACGUGUCUCUAUAGGGGUCAGGGGAUCACUGCAAUAUACCAAAACCAAAUCAUCAAUAAAAAUAAGUCGACGUCGACCGAAUCUUAAAAAACUAUAAAACAUAGGAAUAGCCGAAUAGAGGAUACACAAUAAAAUCUCUGGCGUACGAGGACAAUAAUAUAUAUUACAUCAUACUCUCAAACUCCAAUUAAAAAAAUUUAAAACACAAAAAACGUGACGUAUAUAUGAUGUAUAAUUAAGCUGAAGAUUGAAAAGUAGUCGUGCAGUACAUAACUACAUACUCCCGAGAAAACAAUAGUAUUAGAGAGAUGACUCGAUGGGGAUUUGUGUGGAGACUACUCAGACUAGUCCCUCCCUACACCUCCACAUGUCAAAUUAACAUGAUCUUCUACAUGUACUCUAGUUACAAUCGUUUAAAAUUAAUUUCACUUUAUAGUAAUUAAUUCAAUAUUUCCAAAAUAGAUGCUUUCGUUUCCCUAAUUAUGUCAAAAACUAUUUUUUUAUGCUUCUUUGAUUGACUGUUCAUAACUAACAAAUAUUGAUUUAUGGAGACCAUUUUAUUUGUUUGCAGGAAAUAGACCAUUGAAAUUUGACAUUAUAUAUGUGGUACAUAUAGUAUAUGGGAGUUAUUGAACAAAAGUAUUCCUAUCAAAUAUGGGGAGAAGAAACAAUAAAAAUACAAUUAUCCUAACAAUUGAAAAAACAUAAUUUUAAUUAACAUAUUCAAAUAUUGAUAUUUUAUAUAAACUUUUAUCAAAAAGGACAUUUAAUGUUAUAUUAUAUAUAUAUAUAUUAUGUAUAAAAUUUAAGAUUAAUAUUGAAACUAUAUUUAUAUAGUUCCAUUUAGAUUUUAUUUUUAAUAUUCAAAGUAGUGUGGUAAUUUUUAAAUGUUUUUCCUAAAUACUUAUAAAACAAUUGAAAAAUCAAUUCAUAUGAGAGUUAUCUCAUUUAAUUAGAAUCACUAGUCAAAGAUUACAUUCCUUUUCAACAAACCCUACAUUGGGUAUUUAAUAUUUAUAUUUAUAAAUAUACCAAAACAAUAAGUAAUUGGCCUGAACAAAUAAAUAAAUAAAUCCACUGCCCUACACAGAACAAACGACUAUAAAUUAAGUGCAAAGAAAACACUCCUUUUCACCCAAAUUCUUUCUCUUUUAAAAAUUCAUCACUUCAUUCUCAUCUUCAGCAAUCUUUUUUUCGUUUUUUUGGUUUUUGUUAAAAAAUUCUUAAGAUCACUGAAAAGUUCUUCUUAAAAUAAAUAAAAGAAAUAGAGCAAAAAGAGUAAACCAUGGUACUUGUGGUACAGCCAGCCAACAAUUUUGAUAGCAACCUCUACGUUAACCCGAAAAGCAAACCGAGUCCGGUUAUAAUCCCUGUGAUAGACUUAACCGACUCAGAAGCCAAAACCCAAAUCGUCAAGGCAUGUGAGGAGUUUGGGUUCUUCAAAGUCAUCAACCAUGGUGUCCGACCAGAUCUUUUGACACUGUUGGAGCUAGAAGCCAUCAAGUUCUUUGCUCUGCCUCGCUCUCUCAAAGAAAAGGCUGGUCCACCCGACCCGUUUGGGUACGGUAGUAAACGGAUCGGGCCCAAUGGUGACCUUGGAUGGAUUGAGUAUAUUCUCCUUGAUGCUAAUCUCAGCAGUGAAUCUCACAAAACCUCCGACGUUUUCCGGCAAACUCCUCCAGUUUUCAGGUACACCAAAACCCAGAACUUUAAUGUUUAUUUCGUGAGCUCUUAUGUUUUGUGAACGCGCAUAUGUAUGUGAUCAACUCUAAAACACAACUUUAAGAUAAAAACAGAGAGAUCCCCUGUUCUGUUCCUUAACUGACAUAAAAAGGUUAAACUGUAAAUUGUGUAACAGAGAGAUGGUGAAAGAGUACAUGGAGAAGAUGAAGGGAAUGUCUAGCAAAGUUCUGGAAAUGGUAGAGGAAGAGCUAAAGAUAGAGCCAAAGGAGAAGCUCAGCAGCCUGGUUCAAGUGAUGGACAGUGAUUCGUGUCUGAGGAUGAACCAUUACCCGGAGAAAGAAGAGACUCCGGCUAAAGGAGAGAUUGGGUUCGGUGAGCACACGGAUCCACAGUUGAUAUCACUGCUCAGAUCAAACGACACAGAGGGUUUACAAAUCUGUGUCAAAGAUGGAACUUGGGUCGAUGUUACACCUGACCACUCCUCUUUCUUCGUUAUUGUCGGAGAUACUCUUCAGGUGCCCCCUUUUCUGUUGCAACUUCUUCUUUUUUACUAUUUGUUUAUAUUUUAUCUCACAACUCAUUUUAUAUAUCACAACAAACAUAUCUUCAGGUAUUCUUCUGAAAAAUUUAUGAGUUCAUUAAACUAUUAAUUUAAUAUAUAAAUAUAUUUAGAUUAUAUGUUUUAAAAAUUGGUAGAUUCAUUGCAAUUUUAUAGAAAUUUAAUAAGUUUAUAUCUGCAUGAGUCAUGAAUUAUUAUCAUAUGAUCAUCACCUUUCGAAACAUUAUACUAGUAAUAAUUACCACCAUAUACUAUAGGGGUUACAGCACAAAUUCAUAUUUCUAAACAUUUCGUGAUUGUGGGUGGUAAUCUAAUAUUUGAGAAAACAAAGCAGGUGAUGACAAACGGAAGAUUCAAGAGUGUGAAACAUAGAGUGGUGACAGCUACAAAGAGGUCAAGACUAUCAAUGAUAUACUUCGCAGGUCCUCCGUUGAGCGAGAAGAUUGCACCAUUGAGAUGCCUUGUCCCAAAGCAAGAUGAUUGGCUUUACAACGAGUUUACCUGGUCGGAGUACAAGUUAUCUGCUUACAAGACUAAACUUGGCGACUACAGGCUUGGUCUAUUUGAGAAACAACUUCCCUUUUCCCUCUCCAAUGUUUGAGGCUGUAUUCAUAUUAUUUCUUUUUUGUUUAGAAAAUUUAAUCAUUUAUUUUUUCAGUAGAAGAAGUCCCAACACCAAAAACAUAAUAGAAAAAUAAAUAAGUUUUAUUUUUCCAAAUUAUUUAGUAUUUUCCUUAUUUUAGUUUGUUAGGUUUAUUCAUAAGUUAUAACAAACAAGAUCUCAAAUCUUAUAUAUGAUUUCGUGCAUUGAGUUGAGGCCCAUAUAGGCCUAAUUAGACAUUUAUGUAUUAGCCUUGUGGGUCGAGGAGCAAUUUUUUUCAUACAGCCAAGAAAGUCCAUUAUCGAAGAGAGACACACAUCGUAAUCAGGGGAAACUGUGAGAAGAAGACUGGUAAAAUGAUUUGGAUUGACGUUGUUGUUUUCACAUCCGUACAAGUAACAAUUUGUGCACCAAACCAUAUACUAUAUAGUAUAUAUAAAUAAAAAAAGGAAACGAGCUAGAAAGAGGCAAGUAGGAAGCACGUCUCAGAGUGUUGUUCUCCAGAGAGAUCUAUGGUUUAUGGGCGUAACCGAUGAAUCUUUUUAGCUGGUCGUAUUAUUAAAAGCAAGCUCCAUGCAACCAUGUAUUGUAAUCCUUUUAUACUCCUAUAUAUAUAUAUAACUUUUUUAUAAAUAAUUUAUAUCUAAAAAUCAUAGAAAAAUUGUCAAAAGUGUAAAACAAAUGGAAAAUUGUAUAAAUAAUUUAUUGUGACGUCAUAGAAAACAAGAAUCUACUGAUCUGAUUUUAUUUAUAUUUUUUUUAUUUAAUAAAUGAUUGUCCUCCAACUGUGUAGCACGUGCCUGUUUGUUUGAUGUAUUUGCAUAUUUGCAAGAGAGGACUGAUGAGAGAGAGAGAGAGAGAGCUGGCUGAAGUUCAACUCUCACCAUCCGUCAUAUAUCUUUCUCCUCUCUCUCGUUCUCUUCUUCAGUUUUGAGAUCUCUCGCUCUCUCUCUGUCUCUCUCUCUCUCUCUCCAAAGAUGGCGACUGAUGAUGAGCCUUCUCAGACUCGCUGGAGCUUUCUGGUAAUCUUACUCCCAACUCUCUCUCUCUCUCUCUCUCUCUCGCUUUCUCUUCUUCAUUUACUUUACUUUUUACAUAUGCAGUUCUUGCAAUUUUCAACCAGAUUAUAAUUGCAAAACUCGAAUCAAAGUCAUACACUUUAAUGUCGCUUACGUUUUUAUCUUGAAAAACAAAUACUAUCAACUUUUUUUUUUAAGACCACCGGAGAAACCGAGGAAUGGGCUUAGACCUGUUUCAACUUCUUACUUUUCGAAUUAAAAAAGUUAGAUUUUUGUGUGUAUGUUUCUGAUACGAAAAAUGGUCACUUUCAAUGUCCCUUUAGAAUUGAACAAUCAACGAACCUGUUUCGAUUUCUCUGAAUUCAAAGCAAUGAGCUUGGAGAAUUGAUCGAUUUGUUCAAGAAUAUCUAUGUAUUUAUUAGGAAUUUAAAACGUUUUAUGAUGCCAAGUUUGGGAGGAAGAAGCUGCCUGAUCAAGAUUCCAACAAGGAGGACCAACCACAUGAUGGAUCAUCCAACACUACCAAUGCUGCUGAUGUCAACAACUCUUCCCAAGUUACCACUACUGCUCAGGUGAUUUUUGCCUUCUUUAGUCUUCCUGGAACCUCGGAAGUGCUUAAAGCAGUAAAUGGGGUGUGUUCUUUGUCCUCUGAUGAUCAAAGUUCUAAUAUUUAUCAUGAUUGCAGGAUGGUAACACAGGCUCGGCCAAUGGCAAUGUCAUUCGCGAGAAGCCGUAAGAUCUAUAUGGAUUCCUUUUGAUUUUCUCCUUAUUCCCAUUUGUUUAGAGAGUGUUGGAUGUGAGCAAUGUUUAGCAUAAGAAAACAAGAAUAUAAUUUGGGUUCUUAUUACCUUUCAUUCCCUCUAACGAAAGCACUGUCUCUUUAAUGUUAUUCUGCAGGAAAAAGUCUAUGUUUCCACCUUUUGAAUCUGCAGAAACUCGUACUCUUGCAGAGAGUUUGAGUAGGUAAGUCAUUGAGGUGUAGCUACUUAUACAAUUUUUGUUAUGUUCUUGUGCUUUAGUUUCUGAUGAAUUGGUGUGUUUUAGGGAUAUCAUCCGUGGUAAUCCAAAUAUUAAGUGGGAUAGCAUCAAGGGAUUGGAGAAUGCGAAGAAGUUGCUCAAAGAAGCUGUGGUGAUGCCUAUAAAAUACCCCACGUAUGUCCUUCCUUGCUAUCUAAGCCAUAUAUGCCAAUGUCCAAUUGCUUGCAGAUUAUUUUGAUACUUGAAUCUCACCAGUUUCUGAUUUUAGGUACUUUAAUGGUCUACUAACUCCAUGGAAAGGAAUUCUUCUUUUUGGUCCACCUGGUACUGGCAAGGUGAGAUGAUUCUGGUUCAAAUUGCGUUAUUAGUUUGGAAUUCUUGCUCUAUUUACAGCCUCAUGGAGCUUGCAUUUCAAAAUUAUAUGAAAACUUACUUCACCAAACCAUUAACCAAUUUCUUGAGCCUACUCCAACACUUCUCGAUCAUGAAAAGUAUAUUUUUUUUUAGGCAUCGUCAAGAUUGAAACCUACCUAUGUGUAACAUUCUUACUUUGUCUUCUGUAGACUAUGCUUGCAAAGGCUGUUGCUACAGAAUGCAAUACAACAUUCUUCAAUAUCUCAGCCUCAUCUGUUGUUAGCAAAUGGAGAGGUGCAAUUUUCUUCACCUUUAGUUACUCUUUAACCAUGAAAAAGUUGGAUCUUUUUUAAUAAUAAAAUUUGGGCAUUUCCAUAUCUGUUUUGAUGUUUUCAGGUGACUCUGAGAAGUUGAUAAGAGUUCUGUUUGAUCUAGCUAGGCAUCACGCACCUUCAACGAUAUUUCUUGAUGAAAUAGAUGCAAUCAUAAGCCAACGUGGUGGUGAAGGCCGCAGUGAACAUGAAGCAAGCAGGCGUCUCAAAACCGAGUUGCUCAUUCAGGUAAAAUGCGCAAGAACUUAUGCCUCCACAGUUCAAUACCUUAGCACUCCAUCAGUUCUAAAUCUUGUUUGGUUCAAAAUUUGCAGAUGGAUGGGUUACAGAAAACGAAUGAGCUCGUGUUUGUUUUAGCAGCGACAAAUCUCCCCUGGGAACUAGAUGCAGCUAUGCUCCGGCGUCUAGAGAAAAGAGUAUCCUUUUCUGUUUUACCUUAUUGAACAAAAAUGCUUCUUCUACGAUUUUCCUUUGUUUUAGCCUUAACUAGUGAAUCAUUAGAUCCUUGUACCUUUACCUGAUCCGGAAGCUAGAAGAGGAAUGUUCGAGAUGCUCUUGCCGUCACAACCAGGUGAUGAGCCAUUGCCUCAUGAUGUGCUGGUUGAGAAAUCCGAGGGUUACUCUGGUUCGGACAUUCGAAUACUUUGUAAGGAAGCUGCAAUGCAACCAUUGAGGCGUACACUAGCUGUUUUGGAAGACAGAGAAGAAACUGUACCUGAAGAGGGUAAAAUCUCACUUGAAAAAGAAUCCAUCAUUGACAUAGUUUAUGAUUAAAAACUGCAGAACCUUUGACAUUGUUCUGCUUUGUCUUGCAGAGUUGCCAAAAGUUGGACCUAUCCUACCAGAAGAUAUUGAUCGAGCUCUGAGCAACACUCGACCAUCAGCUCAUCUGCACGCCCAUCUUUACGACAAGUUCAAUGAUGAUUAUGGUAGCCAAAUUCUUAAGUAAACUCAACAAGAUAUAUACAUUAUUUGUAUGGAUGCAUCCAGAUUCCGUCCACCCAAAGACUGUUGUUGUUUGCCUUAAAUCAAGAAUAAAAGUUCCUAGUUGUUUUGGACUCAUUUUAGUGAUUAUCUUCAUAUUUUUUUGGCCGUUUUGUGUUUAAAACAACAGUUGGCGUUUUAGCUUUCUUUAUGUAUGAGUGAUGAAGUCUCUUUUAGCUUCUUGCUUGAAAUGUGGAUAAAGGAGAUGAGGGUGUCAAAGACUCAAAGCAAUGUGACUACAACUAUAGUGCGAUUGGUGACCAAAAUUUUAGAAUGCAGUAGUAAAACAUAACCGUUCAAGAAAAGGCAUCAAAAAUUCUUGGUGAGUCGCUUAAUAAAAUGUUAAUAUCCUCUGUUUUCACUCGUUGCUCUCCGGACCAGAUUUUCCUUUCUUCGAUCGUUUUCUUGUUCUCUUUUUUGUAUCACUCUCGGCUUCUUUCUUUUCCUGGAAACCCAAGAUAAACAUCGAAUUGUAAACAUCUGCGUAUUUGUAAAUAUAAGACUGCCAAAUCUUUAUGCCUACCUUUUGUGCACCAGAGUUAGAGUUGGGUCGACGUUUCUCUGUACUGUUGUCCUUCUUUUUCUUCAUGCAUGAAAGUGGAUUUGGACCCUGUAGAGUUUUGACACAACAAUGUUAGUUUAGUUUCUCCACAGCUACUUCAUCGAAGAAAAUGUACUAAUGAAUCCUAAAAGAGUUAUAUACAAACUAAUAAAAGGUGACUAAUGUGAAGAGAUUGUAACAUUACCUUUGCUCUAUUUCUCUUGAAUUGAGGUCUAUCUUUCACACCAAGUACAUUUCUUGUAGAGAUUACUCGAGGCAUCCCCCAUUCUUCAUUUACAAUUGUUCCUUCUUCUCUAUUGGAAGCUAUGAUCUUCGAAGUCUUUUUCGCCAACAAUCUUUUUUCUGUGUCAGUCAUAUUUAACCUUCUUUUUUCAGAGUCUUUGGCAGUCUCACGUUGGAAAUCAGAAGGUUGUUCGAUCAGCAGAAUGUUCCUUAAACCAAACACAAGAGGAACAAUAGUCUCCUGAAAGACGAAUUAAAUCAUGGAGAUUCAUUGUAUUAGAAACUCUAAAAACCCUCACAGACAAAACUCCAUCCUCUGCAACGAAAUACAAAAACUCUGCUCAUUAAACUAACCUGCUGAAGCUUUUUCCUAAACUCAGCAUCCUGAGUUCCGAGAAAGAAAUGCUCAGAAUUUUUUAUACCUAAAACUUCUGACAAACACUCAUCCGCUGCUUUUGCCUCCUCGUGCUCACAUCUAAACACUCACAAGUGAAGCAAAUCAACUUCAUAUACAUUAUACAAAAUCCAGCUCAGGAACUUCAAAAGUCCUCACUGUCUAUACUUUAAAGGCUCAUCUAUAUCAAUUAUCCAAUACAUUAUAUAGCCUGGGACUUCACAAGUCAUCAAAUGCAUAUCAGUUAUACAAAACUCAGUUGCGUGCCUCAUGAAUCAAAUCCAAAAUGUACACAAUCUCCUAAUUCAUCUCACACUAGACAAUCCAGUUGGAGAAGUCUUCUAGCUAAAUAUAUAGAAUACAUUCAUAGACACACGAUAAAAGACAAAUAAAUCAAAGUAAGGUAAUGAGUCAAAAGGGGAAGCUUACGUUGCUGUACUCAGCAUCUGAGCAGCUUCCAGAGAUUCAGAAAAAUCAUUACCCAGUUUCUCCAACUCCGCAACAACACAUCUACGGAACAGCUCCAUGAUAAGAAAUCCGGUAAAUUGAUAUGAAGUCGUGAGAAAAGAGAGAGAGAGUGAGAUAGAAAGAAACCUGGUGGUGAAGAGCUUGACGGGACCACCGAGGAGUUCGGAGAUAGCAGUAUCGGCGGGAGUGAUCUCAUUAGCAACAAGAUGGUGGAUGAAAGUGCCGUCGCAGAGUACUUUGAAAGGCUGACGGAAUCCGAAACAUACAGUAAAGAAUCUGACGGUUCUCCUGUUUUUCUUCUGCCUUUUUACUCUCAUCUUCUUUUUCUUCUUCUCUCUACGCUUUGAUUUUUCAGAGCGCGAAGCCGACGAUGCUGGAUUUAGGGUUUAUGAGUUUUUUCCUUUUGGUUCGGUUCGGUGGAGGAGAUAAACACCGAUUUCGGUUUUAUUGGUUUACUUGAUUCGAUAUAUAGUCUAAUCGGUUUAAUAAAAUUGACUGACUAGUGUGUUCUAAGAGGGUAGAAGUAAUACUAAGGAAGCUUGCUUUCUGUUCUGUAACUACUGGUUCAUUCAUAAUCAUCAUAAUAUACAACCAUAUGGUUAUACCUCAUACAAAGCCUUUCCCACAAACGUGUUCAUACUACACUUUUAAAAUCUUUCUUCAUGAUGGUUUAGGUGAUUUAGAAAUCAUACCUUAGUUUGUAUUCUGCAGAUACCUGUUCUUCUCAUGAAUUUCUUUGAACGUUGAGUUAAGCUGAGAAACAACAAAUAUUGAUGAUGACAUUAUAAUUAAACCUCACAAUGGUCCAAAUCAUUAACUUAAAUCCAAGACCAGGCACUAAAUUAUAUAAUUCACAUUCAAAGUGUUCUGUUUAUAUUUAGUUCUAUGGAUUCAAAGUUUAAAAUCCAUAGAACCGUUUAAAAUUCACAUUCAAAGUGUUCUGUUGAAAGGUUUAGAUCAAAGAGUAAGUUUAUAUUUACCUCCAUUACUCUGUUUCUCAGGUUCUCGAUUUGUAAACGGUUCUCUGAUCUAAACCUCUCAACGUUUUGGAUAAACUCAUUCAUCUCUAAGCACUUCACCUUGUAAUACUUCUCCCUCUCUUCAUCUAACUCUUUCAGCUCUUCAACCUCACUCUUCAGUGUCCUAUCAUCCAAUUUGAAAAAAUUCACCAUAAAGAUCAAUUAAACGCAUUACUUGAUAUCAUAACCAUCAGAAACGAGCAAGGAUCAGACCUCAAUUGAUGUAUAGAGCCAUGGUAUUUGGAAUCGAGAUCUUCAAUGUUAGAACUUAGAAUCGUGAUCUUGAGGUUUUGUGCAGCUAUCUUUUGGUCUAACAUCAAACAUCUGCGUUCUAUGGAUUUUAUACUCUCCUGUUUCGUUGCUAAAAUCUGUGAUUUGUUCACUUGUAUCUCUUUCUCCGCCUGAUCAAACAUAAGAAUCAACCAGAACCAGAAACGAUCAACAAAUUGAUUCCACAAAUUUCAGAGUACAUAGUAUGACUGAUUUGAUAAUUCGUUGAGAAACUCGAUUUCAAAUUGAAACUAAAGCAUCAUUUCAUCAUCAACCUGAGAUCUGGAUUAACACUGGAAUUGUAGCGAUUCUCUGAUAAUUAUACUACUCGAACAAGUUCUAAAACUCACAAGCGACAUUGAAAACUCGAUGAUUCAAAGGAACGAAGAGAAGCUAGAAUCGAAAUUGAUGGUACCUGGAGAAGAUCGAGUCGUUGGUUUCUGGUGAACUCCAUUUGAUCGAGUCUCUCCUUGAAAGCUGUAGAAAGCGCCAUUGCUUGAGAGUGAGAGACACACAGAGAAUUUGAAUUUUGAGGUUUGGAGAUGAGAGAUUUGAUGAAAUAAGUGGAGUCAAGUUUAUAUAUUUAUAAACCCAGUUAUGUUAAGGCCCAUAAUAUAUAGAGUCUGAUACUAAUAAAGCCCAUGAAGCCAUUCGUAAUUAACCACUUUUGUAGUGAUUUAAGUUCUUUUAAUCACUUUGAUACAAUUUAAUUUCGAACUGUCAAUAUCUUAAAAUUAUUGGUCCAAAUGCAUCGUCACUCAACUUUGUUGGUCCAAAUCUACUGAGCUACUACCACAAACAAACCAUCUGGAACCUACAACUUCAAAUAUCUAACUAACAGAUUACAUUAUGUAUGGUUGAUAUAACAAAUAAGAACCUUAAUCGUAUUGAUAGAUCUCGAAUUGUUGCUUCAUUGAAUACUUUGCAAAAAGAACAAAACACACAAAGCAUUCAAUAGGAAUUGCACAAAUCAACUGAAAUUAGGAGACGAGAGAGAUGUUUACACAAGGAUAUGGCAAAAUGAGGGAAAAAAAUAAAUACAAACAAAAGCUCAAGAUCGAUCAGACGGACUUGAUCGCGGUGGAGGGAUCAGGAUCGGAGUUAUCGGGAGGAGGAUUUGGGAUGAGAGGAGCACGAAGACCGGAUGAUGUGUCGACGACGUCGUCUUGGUCGUCGGGAUCGUAAUCGGGGUUGAGAGAUCUGUCGAUAGCUUCACGGCCUGACUCCAGGCAUGGCUUACAAGCUAACUCUAUCGUUAUCCAUCCCAAGAUGAUUCCGGCAAUUGCGAUCACCGCGCUUGUUAUCGCCGCCAUUGAGAGUGAGAUCGCUCUCUCUCUCUUUUUCUCUGAUGCCUCCAACUCUGUAUCAAUUAUGGGGGAGGAUAUUGAGAAAUGAGAAAUGUCAAUUUCAUUUUUUAUUUUUGUUAAACGUGAAAUGUCAGUUAUACCCAAUCUUUGAGUAUAUUCGUUUCGUCGGCAAGAAUUAUGAAUAAGCAGCUAGUUUUGUUACCUUCAUAAUAUUUCAUUGAUGACUUUUAUUUUGGUUAAUGUAACAUGAGACAGUGCUAAAUUCGUUGUUACAAUUUUGUUAUUGUCAAAUAAUGUUUUAGAAGGUUUUUUUUUUGUUGG